CCCUUAGAUGUCCUGGGCUGCACGCGCGCUACACUGAUGUGUCCAGUAAGCACCUACCCUCUUCCGAAAGGAACGGGUAACCUUUGCAAAGCACAUCGUGAUGGGGAUAGAUUAUUGCAAUUAUUAGUCUUGAACGAGGAAUUCCUAGUAAGCACAAGUCAUCAGCUUGUGUUGAUUACGUCCCUGCCCUUUGUACACACCGCCCGUCGCUCCUACCGAUUGAAUGUUCCGGUGAGCUCUUCGGACUGCGCGGUCUGCAGUUUCUGCGUUCCGUGCGGAAAGUUGCGCAAACCUUAACAUUUAGAGGAAGGAGAAGUCGUAACA
rnacentral:rRNA from 1 species